rnacentral:tRNA from 1 species
GCCCGUAUAGCUCAGCUGGUAGAGCAUUGUACUUAUGAGGUUAACUGAUCAUGCGUUAUGCAAGGGUCUCGAGUUCGACUCUCGAUAUGGGCA